AGGCACUGGGAGGCCCUCUGAGCGACGAUGUCCCAUCUGUACCCUUCUGCCACGUUGUGGGUGGGGUCAGCUGGAUCCAGGAUGACAGGCCUGCAACACAGGGAGAGGGUUCCCAGACUCUCUCCCGUCUGGAGGCCAGCAAACUAGAAAGAAUCCUGCUCAAGCGAUCAUCUGUUCCAGCCACUGAGCACGUGCUGUGUCUGGAGCCCUGGGAGGGCUGUCAGGCCGAGAGGACCCAAGAACAUUGGUGGAGAAGAAGCGAGUGGGGAUGAUUAUAUUUCCAAGAGUUCCUUUUGGGGAGAGAUCCCCAUCCACCGGCCACCACUGUUGCUUGCAAUCCUUCUCCUUGAGAUUUUUCUGGAAGCACAAUGCCUCCGUGGAUUACAAUUUUGGCGGGACCCCUUUCAACUAAAACUCGGUCCAAGAGGGGAAGAAACUUUCUAAACGCCUGUUCUGCCAUCACUCCGGCCGCCCCAGUUGGUACUCCGAAAGACGGCCACCUGGAGGUGUGCCCCGAGUCACUGAAGAAAACAUUCAGCGCUCAAGCAAACAGACAAAGCAAGCAAAUGAAUCAUUCUUUCGGGUUCAGAUUCUUCAAGUCCACAAAACCUUGCAUCAUUUCCUGUUUCCUUAAUGUCUGCUUUGGAUUUCUUUCUCGGGGAUUUAUUCCAAACUCCUGACCCCAGAAGCAGAGAACCAGUUCCAGGUAAGAAAGCUGGGCUCCUCAAGCAGUGUGCUGCUGAACGCUGUGCUUUUGUGGCAUGCAUCACUAAUGCAUCUGGGCACUCUCUUUCUUGCUCACGUAGGAUCCCACUUCUGACACCUUCUCUACAAAGCAACUCCUGGCAACCACUCUAGUUAACAGGAGCUGGCACAAGAGGAAACAUGAUCAUCUGAGGUUGUAGCUGAUACUGUUUACUUCAAACAUCAAGGACUCUUUGCCUGAGGACAAACCAGAAGUGCUGGGGAGUUAAUGGUCCUGGGAAGCAGCCGUCAGCCAAGGGUGACUGCGAAAUCGGGGAAUAAACUCCAACAUCCCACUUGGGAUUCAGUUGA